UACGUAGGGUGCGAGCGUUGUCCGGAAUUAUUGGGCGUAAAGGGCUUGUAGGUGGCGUGUCGCGUCUGUCGUGAAAGGCUCCGGCUUAACUGGAGUAGUGCGGUGGGUACGGGCAUGCUUGAGUGUGGUAGGGGAGAUUGGAAUUCCUGGUGUAGCGGUGGAAUGCGCAGAUAUCAGGAGGAACACCGGUGGCGAAGGCGGAUCUCUGGGCCAUUACUGACGCUGAGGAGCGAAAGCGUGGGGAGCGAACAGGAUUAGAUA
rnacentral:rRNA from 1 species